rnacentral:rRNA from 1 species
AGCGGAGGAAAGAACCAACCGGGAUUGCCUUAGUAACGGCGAGUGAAGCGGCAAAAGCUCAAAUUUGAAAUCUGGUACCUUCGGUGCCCGAGUUGUAAUUUGGAGAGGGCAACUUUGGGGCCGUUCCUUGUCUAUGUUCCUUGGAACAGGACGUCAUAGAGGGUGAGAAUCCCGUGUGGCGAGGAGUGCGGUUCUUUGUAAAGUGCCUUCGAAGAGUCGAGUUGUUUGGGAAUGCAGCUCUAAGUGGGUGGUAAAUUCCAUCUAAAGCUAAAUAUUGGCGAGAGACCGAUAGCGAACAAGUACAGUGAUGGAAAGAUGAAAAGAACUUUGAAAAGAGAGUGAAAAAGUACGUGAAAUUGUUGAAAGGGAAGGGCAUUUGAUCAGACAUGGUGUUUUGUGCCCUCUGCUCCUUGUGGGUAGGGGAAUCUCGCAUUUCACUGGGCCAGCAUCAGUUUUGGUGGCAGGAUAAAUCCAUAGGAAUGUAGCUUGCCUCGGUAAGUAUUAUAGCCUGUGGGAAUACUGCCAGCUGGGACUGAGGACUGCGACGUAAGUCAAGGAUGCUGGCAUAAUGGUUAUAUGCCGCCCGUCUUGAAACACGGACCUCCUGUGUGAAGUGGAUCCGCUA